GUGGGGAAUUUUGGACAAUGGGCGCAAGCCUGAUCCAGCAAUGCCGCGUGCAGGAAGAAGGCCUUCGGGUUGUAAACUGCUUUUGUACGGAACGAAACGGUCCGGGUUAAUACCCUGGGCUAAUGACGGUACCGUAAGAAUAAGCACCGGCUAACUACGUGCCAGCAGUCGCGGUAAUACGUAGGGUGCAAGCGUUAAUCGGAAUUACUGGGCGUAAAGCGUGCGCAGGCGGUUUUGUAAGUCAGGCGUGAAAUCCCCGGGCUCAACCUGGGAAUUGCGCUUGUGACUGCAAGGCUGGGGUGCGGCAGAGGGGGAUGGAAUUCCGCGUGUAGCAGUGAAAUGCGUAGAUAUGCGGAGGAACACCGAUGGCGAAGGCAAUCCCCUGGGCCUGCACUGACGCUCAUGCACGAAAGCGUGGGGAGCAAACAGGAUUAGAUACCCGAGUAGUCC
rnacentral:rRNA from 1 species